ensembl:misc_RNA Metazoa_SRP Metazoan signal recognition particle RNA
GCCAGGCGUGGUGUUGGGCGCCUGUAAUCCCAGCUACUAGGGAGGCUAAGGCAGGAGAAUCGCUUGAACCCAGGAGACAGAGGUCGCAGUGAGCCAAGAUCAUGCCACUGCACUACAGCCUGGGUAACAGAGUGAGACUCUGUCUUUA